rnacentral:rRNA from 1 species
UGCGUAGGCGGCCCGUUAAGUCAGGGGUGAAAUCCCGCAGCUCAACUGCGGAACUGCCCUUGAUACUGGGGGGCUCGGAUCGGCGCGAGGCGGGCGGAACGUGGCAUGUAGCGGUGAAAUGCUUAGAUAUGCCACAGAACACCGAUUGCGUAGGCAGCUUGCCAGAGCCGUAUCGACGCUGAGGCACGAAAGCGUGGGGAGCGAACAGGAUUAGAUACCCUGGUAGUCC